rnacentral:rRNA from 1 species
UCCUACGGGGGGCAGCAGUAGGGAAUCUUCCACAAUGGGCGAAAGCCUGAUGGAGCAACGCCGCGUGGGUGAAGAAGGUCUUCGGAUCGUAAAACCCUGUUGUUAGAGAAGAAAGUGCGUGAGAGUAACUGUUCACAUUUCGACGGUAUCUAACCGGAAAGCCACGGCUAACUACGUGCCAGCAGCCGCGGUAAUACGUAGGUGGCAAGCGUUAUCCGGAUUUAUUGGGCGUAAAGGGAACGCAGGCGGUCUUUUACGUCUGAUGUGCAAGCCUUCGGCUUAACCGGAGUAGUGCAUUGGAAAAU